rnacentral:rRNA from 1 species
CCUGCCGAAUGAAUUAGCCCUGAAAAUGGAUGGCGCUGAAGCGUGUAGCCGACACUAUGCCGUCUGGGCAAUAUAUGCUUUCAGAUGAGUAGGAGGAACGUGGCGGUUGUAUAGAAGCGUGUGCGCAAGCAUGCGUGGAACGGCCGCUAGUGCAGAUCUUGGUGGUAGUAGCAAAUAUUCAAAUGAAAACCUUGAAGGGCGAAGCGGGGAAGGGUUCCACGCGAACAUUGAUUGAGUGUGGGUAAGUCGUUCCUAAGCCGAGUGCUAAAUCCUAAUCACCGGCGAAAGGGAAGCAGGUUGAUAUUCCUGCACACGGAUGUGGAAGCGGUGACGCUCGACUGUGGCGGUGAAGCCGUCGGUUGCACUGGGCAGAGAUUUCUUUUCUGUUUAACGGAGCCUGAUGUACUCUAUGGAAUCCGCUUGUCGGGAGAAAUAGGUACGUCACGGCAAAGCGCCGGGAUUUUUCUGGCGUCCAGAUCGCGACUGGCGGACCUUGAAAAGCUGUCUGCAGGCCGUGAAGAGAAAACCUGGAAAAACCUCGGUUUUGAUAGGGGUUCUAUUCGCGGUGAGAAAAUCCACGCCGUAACGUACCGAUAACCGCAUCAGGUCCCCAAGGUGAACAGCCUCUGCUCGAUAUGAUUACUGUAGGUAAGGGAAGUCGGCAAAUUAGACCCGUAACUUUGGGAAAAGGGUUGGCUCUAGUGCUGCGUAGGAGUGGUUGCUGGGUUGUGGCAGAUGUUGUGUUGCCUGGUGUGGACGCUGCAGCGGAGUAAAAUCUGCGGUGGUGGCUGUGCUGGUGAUGUGGCAUUUGUUGCUCUUGGCGACGCCUACAGCAUGCAGCAAACUAGAACUGCAACGGACAAAGGGAAUCCGACUGUUUAAUUAAAACAAAGCAUU